GAUCUUGUUUCCCCACGUUUCACCGAAAAGGCAUGCACUCCAGCGCUUAAAUAUAGUUAGGAGGGAACUUGCAAAGACAAAGAGGCGCGAAACUCGUCCCUCGAAAAGAGCUCUCCAUAUUUAGAAACUUCUCGUUUCUGGCCAGCGCGGUUUUUCUCCGUCUCUUCGGAUAUGUCAUCGGCAGACUCUCAGCAAUCCGUUGAUGACUACUUCGGAUUCUUACGAUACAAGACGGGAUCAUUCACAGGUGCGCUCUAACAUUUUAGAUUCUGUUCUUCUUCUGCUCGAAGCAGAACUCGUUAUUCGAUUGAAAAACCCUAGGUUUCCGUGAUUUAUGUUUCUCCGUUUGUUGUUUUUGUAUCUGUUUCUUCUUUUUCCCGGAACCUUCUCGUUCGUAUCCGGAGAAAUCGUGGUUGUAGAUGCUGUAUGUAAGUGUCCGUACGAUCUGGAAUGAGGAAACGUCGUGUUCUGUUUCUCUUUCUGGCGUAGCUUUUAUUCGUUUUCUUCACGACUGGAUUUUUUUUGGAUUAUUCAGUUUUAAUCUCUUCCAGAGCUUUGAUUUAACUAAUCUGAUCGUUCUGGACGAUCGAGACCUCGCUUUGAGUUCCUUUUUUUUGCUGUUGAAAGUGUUUUAUGAGUGUACUGUUUGCUGUAUGGCUAUGAACGUUUGAGAAAUGUUGUUAAAUCUCAAUGGAAGAAUGCGCAAAUUUAUGAAUCCUUUUUGGAAGACAUCGUAAAGAAAAAAGAAUAGAGUAAUCUUUCCAUAAAACGCUUGUUUGAUGCUUGAAGUAAGAAGUAGUGGAGAUGAAGCGAAGAUUCAUUGUUAUCGUGUAAAUCUUGCCUCAAUUUUCAUACCUCAUUUCUGAGCUGAAGCCUUGAGGUAUUCGUGUAACAAUUUCUCCUAUUCAUCUUUUUAUUUCUCUAUCGUACGAUUCGCAUCCACAAGAGCCAUCAGAGUACUCUAAUUCAUAUUUUAAGUGUGAAUUUAGUUUGUUGUAAAAGUAACUGUUGGUUAUGAAGUACUUGCGUUCAGGCUUUAACAUAAAUUAGUAAAAGAUCUACAAAUAUUUGGCUGAUUUCCGUGUUGAUCUUGGUUUUGAUUAUCUACUUUGGACUUGCCACGCAAGAACCUUCUUGGAAACCUAACAUCUGUGUGGAUGAUUAUACAGCACGCAUGGCUGUCAUUCUCUCAAGUAUCAAUUUGUUUUUGGCGUCUCAUAAAUCAGAAUCACCUAACGUAAUUGGCUGCUUAUUGUUAGUUGGUUAAGAUUCAUUGUUGAGCAUGCAUAUACAUCUUAAAAUUUACGCAGAAGAUAUGCACAGCCACAGUCUAUUUUCUUAAGGUUACACUUGUAAUCUAUACACCUACACAUGCUUGCAAGUAAGGCGCACAUUUGGACAUCUCAUAUUGUGUCAACAAUGUCAAUCGCACUUGAACAUGUAUCUUAAUGAGAUCCAUAUACAUGCCUUGACUACCAAAUUGCUUUUCUCCUUCAAUUCACACCAUUGCCGAUCUUUUUCAUUUUCAUCUUCGAUUCUCUCAUUUCUUUUCAAGUAGUCAAGUAAAUAUAAUACUGUCAUUUCGUUCUUCAAUGAUCAUAGCCAAGCUGUGAGUGUGAGCCUUUUUGCAAUUUGUUUUUUAGGUUUCUGACUCCUUUGAACAUUUCACUGAUAAAUAUAUGUAGUCAACGGAUGGUUUCUUUUACCAUUUUUUUCUCUUGUUUCUGUGUAGGAAAUGUUGAACAUUAGAAAAUGAAAAGUUUGCUGAAUCCAUAAGCUUAAUAAAUUAGUUUCAUGGAUGUCUUUUUUGUAGUGUUUAUUUUUAAUUAAUAUUCAUUACGCACUUCAUCUUAUGGCUGAUCUCCUGUCAGUUUGUGUGCCUACCUUGUUUAAUACUGUUGCAUCCAUUCUGUUUAAACUUUUUACACAAGUAUUUGAGUGAACACUUUUGAUUUACUGAAUAUCUUUAGUAGUUAUUUUAUGUCAUCACUUGUGAUAAAAGAUUCACGUUUAUGUAGGUUUACCAAUAUAAAUGAGACUCUUUUGUUUGUUAUUGAUGAGUAUGGCAGUGAUAUGAUCUUACUUAUGUACUUUUGUUUGUGAUAUAUGUGGUAAAUCUAGCUUGAAAAAUGCUUGUACAAUCUAUGCGUUUGGGUAACAUGUGCAAUAGUCAUAUUUACAUUAACCUUCGCUGAGUGAAUUUAUAUAAGAUCAAACACUGAUUUUACACCCAAAAUCCUGACUCAUCUAGGUUCAUAGGAAAUGCAGUCGAGGUUGAAAGUGUUCAUUGUACUUAUAUUGCUUUCAAAACAUGACUAGAACUUCCAAAUUAUCUUUUGAAAUUAGAGAACCGAAAUAUUGUUGUUCAUAUGAUAAGUGCUGGCUGAUUAUGCAAAAAAAAUCGACAUCAUGGUCUCUAAUAAAAGAAAGCUAUGUUAUGAGAGGUUGAUUGCAGCAGGUAUCAGGCUCAUCAUUUUAUUGAUACUACACUUUGCAUAUCAGAACUGUAGCAAAAAGAACUAUAGACUUUUCUUUUUCUUUUUCUUUCUUUCUGUGGCUAAAGAUUUGAAGGUCAUUUCUUCCUUUAAAAAUGUAGGUAUGCAAAACAAUGGUUUAAAAUAUUUAUAUAUUGGGCUUGUUUCCUUUAUUCAUUUUGGGAAAUUUUGUAGUUUGUAUUCUUGUUCAUCAACAUGCUAAUUGAAUUAUUUAAAACUUGAAACAAAAUAAUUUUUAAAAUAAUUGUUUUUGUUAAUUUAAAUUUAAAUUUAUUUUAAAUAAAAAUAAUAAGAAAAAGAACGAUGGUAAAAUUUUCUCUGCGAAGACCUGAUCCUUACCCUGACUCCCCAACCCGACCUUGUUGCCAACCCUGAUACUACUACAAUGGGAGUACUUUAUGAUGGGGCUUUUCUUUAGCUAUUUCUACCUAUCCGGUGCAACCGUGCUGUAGCUUCUCGACUCCUCUCGUUCUGUCCUUUCUCUUUGAUUUAUUUUUCUCGUUUGUGUUUGCUUUGUUUAUUGUUUCUUGCUUAAAGGUUUACUUCGUGCAUAACUUUAGUGCUUAAACUGUAUCUUCAAUUUGACUAUCUUUCCUCUUUUUGAUCAUGGAUUUGUUAUUCUUUUAUCUAUUAAAGUCUGUCGACGCAAGUAGCCUCCAGGGUUUAAUUGAAUAUGUGGUAUUAAAUAGAUGAUUGUUGGUUACUGCUAGUGUUAUACAUUGAUUAUGUACUGGCAUUUUAUCCGAUAUAGUCUUUUGGUUUGUUGUCUUUUACUCAUCGUUGUUUGUCUGCCAAUUUAAUCUUUUUUUUUUCUUUCAAAUUUUAGAAAGUUUAUUUUUAUUAUAUCCUGUUGCAUAGUUGUUGACCAUAUCUUGCAGCGUUGGGUGGUACACUUGACCCUGUAUCAUUGAGAUGAGGUACGGAUGAUCAGAAGCUUGGUAGUUUAGGGAGUUAAUAACCUCAUUUAUCAAGGUGAUCAUUUUCUCAAUUUUAGUAUAAACUCCUUUGUGUUUCUUCUACAUAACAAGAAAGGAUAAUCAGAAGCUUGUUAUAUUAGGGAGUUAAUAACCCCAUUUAUCAAGGUGAUCAUCUUUCCAAUUUUAGUAUUAAUUCCUUUCAAUGUUUCUUCUAAAUAACAAGAAAGAAGAGCUCACCAUUAGCAUGUCGACAAGUCACGUUAUGAGGGCAAAUAGAAAAAAAAUUCACUAAUCAGUGUGAGGUGCAGAAUUCCUAUCUUUGGUGUCCUAAAUCUUAUUGGAUUUCUAAAUUUCUGAGAACUCUUGGAAGCAAUUUCCCUUUAUUUAGGAACAAUUCGAUAAAAUGAAAAGCAGAGGCAAGGAAGUAGACUCAAAACAGGAGUUUACAUAUAGACACAAUCUGCAAUUUGCACAUUCGAAAGGUAUUGUACUAUACUCUUAUCAUUUUUCAAUUGUUAAAAUCACCAAUUUAGUCCAGUCCCUAUGGAGAAAGUCGAUUUAGUUUAACUUUUAAAUCACAAAAACAAAAAUUUGCAAUUAGAACUUAAAAUUUUGAUGACAUCCCCAUAGCUACAUAAACCAUUUCUCCUUCAUAUUUACUAUUAGAAGUUAUUUGGACUCUUAAGCCUCUUUGAAGAGUUACCCAAUUAACGUAGGCUAUAUAAGACAGGAAUGCUUCACACUAUUUGCUCUAUAAAGUAGGGUCUAUUCUAAUUUUUUUUGCAAAAGAUCAUCUUUACGAUGAAAGCAAUUAGGUACUUUAGGUAAGUUCAUUGUGAUACAAAUGUUAUAUUUUAUCAUAUUAAUAUUCAUGUUAUCAAAUAUUAACUUAAAAGAAUUCAUGGCUAUGGUAAUUAUAACAAGGAAUUUUCAAAAUUAAAAAGGAAAAGGUUUUGACUAGGGUAUAAUAUGUGGUUUUGAUUUGUUUUCUAAUACAUUACAUCUUAAAAUAUAACAAGCUAUAUUUUUAAUACAAUAUCUUUUGUUUUGCACACACACACACAAAAAAAAUCCUCCAAAUUUUGUGAACAUGUCCAAGGGGGUCUUUCUCAGAAUUUUGUGAAUACCGCUUAAGCUUCUAAGCUUCCUCCAGAUUACAAUAAAACAGAUAGCUAUUUUUCAAUAACUGAUCACUUUAUAAAUUCUUCGUUGUACUUGGUUUUUUUCUCCUGUUUUAUUUUUUUCUACAUGUUUACUUAUAUUUGUCAAUGGCAGGGUGGAUUGGAAAUUUAAGCUCGGUAAAAUAUCGAGAACAUCUCUUUUCAAACGAUAAGCCUAUCGUUUGAAAAGGUAAUGGUAAUUCAUUUGUUAUUUUGUUUUGUUUUUUAAAAUUAAUUUUUAAAAAACAGGUGUCUGGUACUUAAAUCAAUUUUUAGUUUUUUAAACAAGAAAUAUGUUUUUAAGGUUAUGGAAGCAAUAUGAAAAUGAUAAAGAAAUUUUUUAGGAAAAUAGAAAACUAGAUUUGUUAUUUACUUUUUGUUUUUGAAAAACAGAAAACUAGAUUUGUUAUCGAGUCUUAAAAUGUAUAUACACUACGUACGAUAAGCUUUUCCUCGUUUUUAAAUUUGUUUUCUGAAAACCUUUUUGAAAACUGAUCUAGUUAAACUUUUUAAAGAAUAAUUAAACGGGUAAAUAAUAAUAAUUUUGGAUAAACGAUAGUGGUAAAUAUUUUUUUAUGAUUAAAAUUUCAAUCAACUAUUUCAAUGUGUGUAUUUAUAUAACUGUUAAUUUCAAAUAAUAAAUUUGUGAAUCUAAAACUUACCUGAGAAGGAAUGUUUAGAAAGUAAGAGUGUAUUUGGUAAUCUAUUUGUUUUAAUGUUUUUUCAAAUAUUAACUUUUAAGAAAUAGUUGUGCUUGUGAACAGAUUUACUUUGUUUUUUAAAUAAAACAUUUAAAAUUAAUUUUUGUUUUAAAAAAAAAUUCAAUUUGUUUAUAUAAAAAUCAAAAUUAAAUGAGUUACCAAACACAUCUUUAUAAACAAAAAUUAGAAAAUAUAAUCUAAAAAACAAACAAAUUAAAUCAAGUAAUUAAAAUGGUUAGUAGAUGAGACUCUGAUCUUUGAAACUGUAAAGCUUGUAACUUUCUUAAAAUAAAGAGUUAUGUGUAAUCUAGUCAUCUUUAAAAGCAUUGUUUUUAUCCUUUAUUUUCUAUAUUUUUAAAUUUUUUGUUUAAAACAAAAAACAUAUAUGGCUGGCAUCUGAUUUAAAUGAAAACUUUCUUUUUCUAUUUUCAAAUUUAGUCAUUAUUAAAAAAAGAGAUGUCUUGUUUUAAAAAUAAAAAAAUGAAUUAAUUACUAAAAAAAAAAAAAGAAACUAAAAAGGUUACCAAACAGUUUAAUGUUAUUAUAUAUUUUAAAAAUCGAGAUUGGAUUCAAAUAGACAAUCUCUGUAAACUAAAUAUCAUUUUAAGGAGUGAACUGUAUAAAACUUGGGUAGAAGUUUUUUAAAAAACCCUUUUAUUAGACACAUAUCCCAACGGAAAGAGUAUGAUCCUUUGAGAUUUUUUUUCUAUUUUUUGUUUUUGAAAUUUGUAUCUAUUUGUAAAAUAGGAAGUAUAACAUAGCAAAACACGAAUACUAUUUUGAAAAUGAAAAACGAAGUAAAAUAUGAGAUGAGAUGGCUAUGACUCAGAAUGCGAAAUUCUCUUAGUCAAUACGCGAGUGCUAAAAGCAUGUAAGUUUCAUGGUAUAUAAUAUUCACGAAAAGGAAAUAUAUUCGUUGUUCUUUUAAAAACAAGUAGGCAAACAUUUUUAGAGUUUAGUGUAGGUGAUAAAAUAUAUCCGUUCGUGAAAUUGUCAUUUUCUAUUAAAAUAACAACCAAUAUUUCCCUUUGUAUUUUUCAAUCGUUCGACCAUGGAUUAACCUUUGAUAACAUUUUGGUGAACAAGUCUUGGGGUUGUGAAGAGUAAAUGAACAUUCUAAUUUCAAAUUUUAAUUUCCGUAUAAAUGGCCCGUAUUAUAGUUUCAGGAGUGUUUUACUGAAGCUCAGUUUUUUAAAACUAAAAAGUACAAAUUUCAAAACUGAAAAAUUAAAUCUUAUUCGAUAGAGUAUUUUCUUUCUUAGUUUUGGCUCUAGAAAUUUGGCGGAAAAAUGAGGUUCUCAAUGUCGUUGAAAUCAAACAAAGAACCAUUAAAUUGGAUCCAAAAAGCUUCUCAAUUCUCGAUAAUAUAUAUUAUUUUAAAUUUCUCAAAAUGUGAAAUGCAGAUCAAAUAUUAAAUCAUUUCUGAACAAUGCAUGGAUUUUGUGAUAAUGGGGGUUUAUUCCAUUUUUUAAAAACUCUAACUUAAAAGGGCUCAGUUACUUAAGUGGAUUUUAUGUUUUAAUAUCACACUAGCUUUAAAAUUAAGACCAUAACUCGCAGACGGUAGAAAAAUCCAACGCAAGAAUUUUGGUAAAUAAAGAAAAUACAUACCUCUCCAAAAGCAUUGCUGAAUCUCCUCCGUCACAAGGCCUAGUUGCAAGAAAAAUUCGUACAUAAGUAAUAUUUUCGUUUGGGUUUGAAGUAUAAUCUUUGAAUUUUGCUCAUUCUUACCCUUAAAUAUUGUUGAUACUGAUGUUCCGAAGUAGACAGUUCGUCUAGGCAAGUUCCAUAGCCAUUUUCUUGGAACAUCAAUAGGUUUCAUACUAGAUUCAUGAUCUGCAAACAUCUGUGAUUUUGGGGAAAAAGUUAAAAAAGAGAAAUUAUGCAGUAACGAUUAUGUUAUCAUGAGGUUAAAACACUUUUUUUUUCAUCCUGGAAAUUCUGAGUAUAAAAAAAUCUUGUGUGUGUAUGUGUAAUCCUUUUUUAAAAAAAUUAAUUUUAAUAACUUUCACUCUAACGUGUCGCGUUCUCUCUCUCUAACAAUAGAUUUAUCAAUAAAUUUUCUUUAAAAAAAGAGAGAUAAUAUAUGUUGUAAUUUUUCCAAAUGAUUCUCUUCCUAUAAAAGUUCUCUCUAAAAUCCUGUAUCGGCCACUUUUACCUUUUUCUUUUUUCACUUUCUUCCUAAACCUUUUCGCCACUGUAGAACUUCCUAUGGUUUCUAAUUUGCCUUUCUUUUUUCUUUAACUCUCUAACCAUAUCGUUUGCCCUCUAAUGUUUAUCCCUAAUUUUUCUUUUCAACUUUAAAGAUAUUUUUUCUUUCUUUCCUUCCCUAAUACUCUCUAUUUAACAGUCUCUAUUUAACGAUAUUUUUUCUUUCUUUCCUUCCCUAAUACUCUCUAUUUAACAGUCUCUAUUUAACGAUAUUUUUUCUUUCUUUCUUUCCUUCCCUAAUAUUCUCUAUUUAACACAUACCUCACCUUUUAACUUUUCACCCUCUAAGCUUUUAUUUUUUUUAUACAUAUCUUUAUUCUCUAACUGUAAUCAAUAUUCUUUCUUUUAAUUUUCUCUCUCCCAUCAGAGUUAGCUGGUACUUAUUAGUAUUGGUCUUUCUUCAUAAUCUCAAUGAAACUUUGUUUUGUUUUAUUAAAAAAAACACUCUAAUUACUACUCUUAUCCAAAAUUUUAUUGGUUUUUUUAUGCUUUUCUCUAAUAUUUCGUUAUUCUUCUUACUUCAUGGUCUCGUGAACAUAUUUCUCAGACUUCAACUUUUUUCUAACAUGUCUUUCAUUUUAACUAAUAUUCUCUCUAAGAUUUAUACUCUUUCUGUAGUUCUUCUCUCUAUGAUUCUUUUUGGGAAAUCGUCCAAAACGGCGUUUAAUAGGUUUUGUCUUGUAAAAUCAUCACCCUUUUUUUAAAAUCGUGCGAGACAAACUAUUAAAUGCCGUUACAAUUUCACAUUGAUUUGUCCCAAGUUUUGUCUAUCUAAUAAACUUUUACUUUACUACCUCGACAUCUAUUUUGCUUUUUCUGAUGCUAUCCAACUUUGCAAAAGGAAACUUAAGUUAGUUGUCAAAUAUGGUGUAUAAAGAUUAAAAUAUCUGUUGGUUUAUGUUUUUUUAAAAAUCAGAAGACCAAUAGUUAUAAAAAAAAUAAAAGAAAUCAUCUCCGAUUUUUUAUUAUAAAUAAUAUAAAGAUUUCAAAUUCAAGCAGUCAUUUUUGGGAAACAAAGAGAGCAUUGAAGAUUUCAUUUUUCAAAAAGGAGAAAAGAAAAGGGAGAAAAAAAGUCACCAAAGAUUUCCUUUUUGGAAAAAGGAAAGGAAAAAAGAGAGAGAGCAUUAAAGAUCAUAAUUAACCAAUAUGAAAACGUUAUGGAUUUUCUAUCGACUAUCUAUUUCUCAGCCAAUAAUGAUAGGUGUUAGAAGCGACUUACUUCGUUUACUUGGAAAUAUGUUCCAUUGAGUGGAAAACUUCCUCGCAUUGCAGUUCUACAAGGUACCUGUAAUUUUGCAAGAGAGAGACGUAAAAAUAGUUUAAGAGACUAAAAGCCUCUCAUCGUAUCGAAUCAAGUUCGUGUUCUUUGUAGUUUACCAGUAACGUUCCUCUGACUGUUUGUGAAUUCGCUUCUCUUCUACUAUUGCAUGUGAAACAUGUUAUUUCAUUGCAGAGUCUGUUUGGGUCUUGAGACCCACAACUUUGUUCUGGCGGUUGAAUCGAGUUUGCCGUUUCACCUGGAGAGACAUAGAAAUUUUUAAAUUGCUGUUGAUGAUUACCGAAAUGGAAAAAGGGGAAAGGGAACAGAAAAUCAUUGGUUCAUAGAACAGAUUGACUGCUGCUUACCGGGAGUCCAUAUCGCAAGAAGAUACGGGCUUGGAUCAUCAGGUUCCAUUGAGAAAAAUGAAAGAACGAACAACACAUACUAAAAACGCAAUACAACAAAUGGAGCCCACCAACUACGAGAAGGGACUCAAAUUCAAAAGGAUCAAAGCCUAAUGCAUAGCUACGAAAAAGUUGGGAAAUAAAGAGCAUGACGAGGUAUUAAAUCUAAUGUUCUCCCAAUUCUCGUCUCAAGACUACUCCUCCCUGAAAAGAUUCUGUUGUUUCUUUUUAACCAAAUUCCCAGUAAGUUUGCAAAGUCUGCUAGUUUGUUAUAAUCUUAUUGCUUCUAUUGAAGUUGUGUUUGUUAUGGUGACUUUCUUAAUUCAUCGACUCCGUGGUUUAUACUAAAAAAGAUUGAACAAA